GCCUGGGUGGCUCAGUUGGUUGAGCGGCCGACUUCGGCUCGGGUCAUGAUCUCACAGUUCCUGAGUUCGAACCCCGGGUCGGGCU
rfam:Felis catus isolate Cinnamon breed Abyssinian chromosome A1, whole genome shotgun sequence.